rnacentral:rRNA from 1 species
CAGAGCCGCGGGAAAACGAAGGGUGCAAGCGUUACUCGGAAUUACUGGGCGUAAAGCGUGCGUAGGUGGUGGUUUAAGUCCGUUGUGAAAGCCCUGGGCUCAACCUGGGAAUUGCAGUGGAUACUGGGUCACUAGAGUGUGGUAGAGGAUAGUGGAAUUUCCGGUGUAGCAGUGAAAUGCGUAGAGAUCGGAGGGAACAUCUGUGGCGAAGGCGACUAUCUGGGCCAACACUGACACUGAGGCACGAAAGCGUGGGGAGCAAACAGGAUUAGAGACCCCUGUAGUCCCUGUCUCUUAUACC